GGCAGAGGUCCCGAGCGUUAGGCGGAAUCACUGGGCUUAAAGCGUGUGUAGGCGGACGGGUAAGUACCUUGUGAAAUCCCACGGCUCAACCGUGGAACUGCUGGGUAUACUGCCUGUCUUGAGCCAGCUAGGGGCGACCGGAACAGACGGUGGAGCGGUGAAAUGCGUAGAUAUCGUCUGGAACGCCAAUGGUGAAAACAGGUCGCUGGGGCUGUGCUGACGCUGAGACACGAAAGCCAGGGGAGCAAACGGG
rnacentral:rRNA from 1 species